rnacentral:rRNA from 1 species
UACAGAGGGGGCCAGCGUUAUUCGGAAUUAUUGGGCGUAAAGGGCGCGUAGGCGGCCAUGCGUGUCUUCCGUGAAAUCCCCUCGGCUUAACCGAGGACGUGCGGAAGAAACUGCAAGGCUCGAGUCCCGGAAGAGGGGGGCGGAAUUCCCAGUGUAGCGGUGAAAUGCGUAGAUAUUGGGAGGAACACCAGUGGCGAAGGCGGUCCCCUGGGCCGGAACUGACGCUGAGGCGCGAAAGCGUGGGUAGCAAACGGG